rnacentral:rRNA from 1 species
CAAACUUUUGAUGGCGACCGGCACACGGGUGAGUAACACGUAUCCAACCUGCCUCAUACUCGGGGAUAGCCUUUCGAAAGAAAGAUUAAUACCCGAUGUUAUAGUCCUACCGCAUGAUGGGAUUAUUAAAGAAUUUCGGUAUGGGAUGGGGAUGCGUUCCAUUAGUUAGUUGGCGGGGUAACGGCCCACCAAGACAACGAUGGAUAGGGGUUCUGAGAGGAAGGUCCCCCACAUUGGAACUGAGACACGGUCCAAACUCCUACGGGAGGCAGCAG